UGUCUUUAUUGGCAGGGCUGGACAAGGUGACUUGCCGAAGCCGCCUGAGGAUCAAAAGUUAUUGGACUUCCCGGAACAAUAUCAGAUGGACCCCGUACCUAUCAAAGAUGAAUAUUUUGAAUUGAAUGAUUUUUUGAAUCCCGUGGAUGGCGAUUAUAUUGCUGAUAACCCAGUUAAUGAUGAAAUGAAAAGUUCCAAUGCUUCUGAUAAUUUCCCAGUUGAUGAUGGCACAUUCCUAGAAAUUAAGGACCUCCAAAACCCCGUUGAGGCAGUUCCAUCAGGAUUCUUCUAAGAUCUUGGAGAGUGAAUAUCCCAUCUUUGACCAAUCUGCUUUCAACCAGACGGUGAAUAGUGGAACUGAAGAACUGGCAAUGCCACAGCCCUCGAAUUCACUGGGUAGUGAAGUCGCAUCCUCUUCAAAGCAUAAAUCAGAUGAUACAAAACUUGCAUCAGAUGCUCAAUACGAGGAUGGUUGGGACAGUACCCUUGUCAAAGGGGUCAGCGUAUGUUGGGUUCCAUCCCUGCCCCAGCAUUUGCUGAAGAAUUCUGUACAAAAGAGGCAGCUUUGGGACACAACUCGUCGAUGCAGUCUCCCAGAUCAAUACAUGUUACUGCCGGGGUGAUACGUAUAAGCGACAUGACAUUCAGAGGCAGUGGAAAGGACUGGUCAUUGUACAAGGUUGAAGAUUUGGGUCUCCUCAUUUCCUAUGGCAUGACAAGGGGUGAUGUAAUGGCUACUGAACGGCUGAUGAGCCACUCCGUUGGUUUUGAACCUCUGGUUAAUCUACUCUCAGGUAAGGCAGGAUCCCUGAUGAUGCGAAGCAUGUUCUACCUAUUCUUCUUCUGGGUUCUGAUUCUUUCAGUGAGUUACAAAAUUGGAUGCUGCUUCUAUACAAAGUAAUGCUGCAGGUUGGAUCAUUUACUUAAUCACUCACAAAUUAUUCAAAAGGGAAAACAAAAAAAUAACCCUUAAUGGGACCGUUUAAUUACAGUAUUAUUUUAUUAGUUGUUGGACAAAGAAUAGUGUCCUAGGUAAGGUUAUGACAGGAUAUGCUCAUUAAUAGGUAAUGCAAUAGAUUUGUUUCCUGAUAUUGAGCACAUAAUACGCUUGAUUUGUAACC